rnacentral:rRNA from 1 species
UGGCGGACGGGUGAGUAACGCGUAAAGAACUUGCCCUUUAGACUGGGAUAACAGAGGGAAACUUCUGAUAAUACUGGAUAAGUUAGUAUAUCGCAUGAUAUGCAAAUGAAAGCUACGGCACUAAAGGAGAGCUUUGCGUCCUAUUAGCUAGUUGGUAAGGUAAGAGCUUACCAAGGCGAUGAUAGGUAGCCGGCCUGAGAGGGUGGACGGCCACAAGGGGACUGAGAUACGGCCCUUACUCCUACGGGAGGCAGCAGUA